GGAUUUCUGAAAUGUCAAAGUCGGACGCGUCGCUGCCUCGGCGGCUGCUGGCUCUGCUCCCGGCUUUGCUUCCGGCUCUGCUUCCAGGGCGGCUGGGCGUCUUCCUGGACUCUGGAAAGAGAGGAUGGAGGACGGAGGAAGAGAGGGAGCCCUGGUCUUUGGGUCACUACCGAGGGGAACAGAUGUCACACACUCACCAGCAAACUGCGUUCGGACUCUGGAGGCUGCGGUCGUUAUCAAGGCGUUGUCCUCCCCGGAGUGGAAACCUUUCCCUGACAAGUACCCUGGCAGCCGCAGCUUGCUUCCCUGGAUUGGCGUUCCCUGUGUGUGACCGGCGUAGGGACCGCAUAAGAGUUUGACCGUGCUGCAUGAUAUCCCACUGACACACUUCCCUCACAGUUGGACAUCUAGACACGCCCUCUGAAGAUCAGCGAGGGGUGUGGCUCCCACCUGCCCUCCUCUUUUUAAUUAUUUAUUUUUUAAAUUCUUACUCGGAUAAAGGAAACCGUCUAAAGAAAACGGCUUCAUGAUGGGAGAGAAAACACAGAAGUCACGGGGAAGGAAAACAAGGUCAAUCAAACCGUGGGCUGUUAGCACAUCUCAGACCAUCAUUGUUACAGGGUUGGAGGUGUCGCCGGGGCGGGGCUGAGCAGGGGCGGGGACGGGGAGCUGAAUAUUAUGCUUGACCGUUCCGCUGCCUUCAAUUUUCUCAGGAAAAUGAGGCAGACAUUAAAGAGAAACUGAGAGAUGAGAGUAGAAAAAAAAAAAACCAAAAAAAACAAAAACAACAACAACAAAAAAAACCCUCAAACAGGAAGUGUGACCGUCCAACUUCACACUGUACGGCAAUACUUUGGAGACAUUUCUUGAAGACUUUUAAGAGUCACCUGAGGGAAAUGUAUGGAGCAAUUGUAAGACAAUGUGAUAGGUCUGGACCCAAGUUUCUACAUCAUGACAUUUUAGAAAUUCCUGAAGUUAAAAACAGAACUCGAAUAUCAGGGGUCUCUAGUGCCAGUGAGCACAUAGCCAAGGAGCCAUGGAGAAAACAAAUCUAUAAAAAUGAUGACUGUGUUCAGAGCCCUUUCUCAUUAGAGCUGGAAAUUACUAACGAAGCAUAUACAAGGUGUUUGGUAUUGAUGUUAGCCUCUGACUUGGUAUUUCUUGGUUUUAGGAUUCCUACCCUUUAUCUACAUGUGUGUUCUAUACACAAACCUAAGUGCAGGUGAUUUUUUUUAACAGACAUGUAGCCC